GGUUAUGGCUCAGCGGUAGAGCACUUGCCUCGCACAUUUGAGGCCCUGGGUUUGAUCCUCAGCACCA
rnacentral:tRNA from 1 species